GGGGAUAUGGCUCAAUUGGUAGAGUGCUUGCCUAGCAUGUACAAGUCCCUGGGUUCGAUCCCCAGCACCACCA
rfam:Ictidomys tridecemlineatus contig033119, whole genome shotgun sequence.